GGCGCAGGCGGGAAGGAAAGUCAGACGUGAAAGCCCGGGGCUCAACCUCGGAAUUGCAUUUGAUACUUCCUUUCUUGAGGGUAGGCGGAGAAAACAGAAUUCCACAAGUAGCGGUGAAAUGCGUAGAUAUGUGGAAGAAUACCGGUGGCGAAGGCGGUUUUCUAGCUUAUACCUGACGUUGAGGCCCGAAAGCUAGGGGAGCGAACA
rnacentral:rRNA from 1 species